UACAGAGGGGGCAAGCGUUGUUCGGAAUUACUGGGCGUAAAGGGCGCGUAGGCGGCCUGCUAAGUCGAACGUGAAAUCCCCGGGCUCAACCCGGGAACUGCGUCCGAUACUGGCAGGCUUGAAUCCGGGAGAGGGAUGUGGAAUUCCAGGUGUAGCGGUGAAAUGCGUAGAUAUCUGGAGGAACACCGGUGGCGAAGGCGGCAUCCUGGACCGGCAUUGACGCUGAGGCGCGAAAGCCAGGGGAGCAAACGGG
rnacentral:rRNA from 1 species